rnacentral:rRNA from 1 species
AGGAUGAACGCUGGCGGCGUGCCUAAUACAUGCAAGUCGAGCGGUAAGGCCACUUCGGUGGUACACGAGCGGCGGACGGCUGAGUAACACGUAGGAACGUACCCCAAAGUGAGGCAUAAGCACCAGAAAUGGUGUCUAAUACCGCAUGUGCUCUAAGGAGUAAAGCUUCGGCGCUUUGGGAACGGCCUACGCAUGAUUAGCUUGUUGGUGAGGUAAUGGCUCACCAAGGCGACGAUCAUUAGCUGGUCUGAGAGGAUGAUCAGCCAGACUGGGACUGAGAACGGCCCAGACUCCUACGGGAGGCAGCAGUAGGGAAUUUUCCACAAUGGGCGAAAGCCUGAUGGAGCAACGCCGCGUGCAGGAUGAAGGCCUUAGGGUUGUAAACUGCUUUUAUGUGUGACGAAUAUGACGGUAGCAUAUGAAUAAGGAUCGGCUAACUCCGUGCCAGCAGCCGC